CCCUACUCCAGUACUCUUGCCUGGAGAAUCCCAUGGACUGAGAAGACUGGUAGGCUACAGUCCAUGGGGUCGAAAAGAGUCAGACACGACUGAGCGACUUCAUUUUACUUUCACUUUUGCCUUUAAACAAACACCGCAUCCUGUAAUCUGCUCCUUUCUAGCUGUGUGACUUCAGGAUGUUACUUAACCUCUCUGAGCCUCAGUAGCUUUGUCAAGGACACAGGAUGUCCUUGUUGGGUAAAAUGAGGGAUUCUUGUAACAGAAAAAAAAAGAAGAAGGCGAGAGAAGAAAAUGCAUGCGUGAGCAGCCAGGCAAGAAGACGUGAGCUGUGCGUGGUUCAUCUCCUUUGGGCGACACCCAGCAAGGAGUCCUUGGCCACCUGCCCCUGCGUUUCUAGUCAUAAGGCCCUCACCAUCCCCUCUAAGAGAAAUGUCUCUAAUAAGGACCAUCAGUGUAACACAGGAAACUAUAUUCAGUAUCUUGCAAUAACCUAUAAUGGAAAAGAAUCGGAAAAGGAAUAUAUACAUGUAUAACUGAAUCGCUUUGCUGUAUACCUGAAAUUAACACAACGUUGUAAGUCAAUUAACU
rnacentral:lncRNA from 1 species